GUGCAUAUGUGCAGCACAUAUACUAAAAUCAGAGCAAUACAGAGAAGAUUGGCAGGGCCCCUGCACAAGGAUGGCCUGCAAAUAAUGUUCAAGCAUUUA
rnacentral:snRNA from 1 species